rnacentral:rRNA from 1 species
CAGUCGCCGCGGGAAUACGUAUGUCACGAGCGUUGUCCGGAUUUAUUGGGCGUAAAGCGCGUCUAGGUGGUUAUAUAAGUCUGAUGUGAAAAUGCAGGGCUCAACUCUGUAUUGCGUUGGAAACUGUAUAACUAGAGUACUGGAGAGGUAAGCGGAACUACAAGUGUAGAGGUGAAAUUCGUAGAUAUUUGUAGGAAUGCCGAUGGGGAAGCCAGCUUACUGGACAGAUACUGACGCUGAAGCGCGAAAGCGUGGGUAGCAAACAGGAUUAGAUACCCCUGUAGUCCCUGUCUCUUAUACA